ACAUUCAAAGGUUUUUGUGCACAGUUGUAUAUCUACGAAUUGUGUUUUGCAUUUGUGAAAUGUAUUUUAUGAAUAUAUAUUUUUUUUCACGCACGUGAAUUUUUUUUGUGUGUACGUGAAUUAGGUUUCAUGCAUGUGAAAUUGUCUACGCAUGUGUGAAUCGUGUUUUUUGCGUGAAUUAUAUUUGAGACUAAUCUGCUUCCAUAUACACUUCCAAUUAAAAAAAUUGGGGUUAGUAAGAUUUUUUUUAUUUUUCCAAGAAAAAAAAUACUUUUUUUUCCAGCAAGUACACAUUAAAUUAACCAAAACUGUAAGUAAAGACAUUUUUAAAAUUACUAAAGAUUUUUAUUUCAAAUAACACAAAAUAGUUGUUUUCAUCGAUAAUGAUAAAAAAUGUUCCUUGAGCAGCAAGUCAUCAUAUUAGAGUGAUUUCUGAAGGAUCACGUGACACUGGAGAAAAGAUGCUGAAAAUUAAGAUUUGCAUCACAGGAAUAAAUUACAUUUCAAAAUAUAUUAAAAUAGAAAAAAGUUAAGUAGUAAUAACAUUUCAUAAUAUUACUGUUUUACAGUAUUUUUGAUCAAAUAGAUGCAACUUUUGAGAACAUAAGAAACUUCUUUGAAAAUAAGGAAAAAUCUUACCAACUCCAGACUUUUAAACAGUAAUGAAGUUUAGAUGAUUAGAGAAGAUUCACCAAGUACUUAAAGUUGCAACCAGAGUUGCAGUAUUUCUCAAAUUCAUAGAUCUGCUGAAGAAAUGCCAAGCAAUAAAGCAAAUUGCACUUAAAGCCCUCAAGGCUCUCCAUUAUUAGUCAGCUCAAAUCGCUGGAUGAAAACAAAUCUUUGGCAUAAGUGUUUUCAGAUUAAACCGUGUCUGCACAUCCAGACAUACCAGAUAUCAUCCGCACCUUAUUCAAAUACACAGUUUGAAUGUAAGUAACAUCUUAAAUUGAAUCAUGGUGGAAUGUAGAGGCUUUCAUUUAGUGGAAAUGUUUUCAUUAAUUAAAAGGGAAAUUUAAGUCUCUGUGUAUUUUGUCCCAGUCAACAAAACACUUAAAAAAAAAAAGCUCAAAGUGAUUUUCAUCAAAAGAUCCAUUUAGCUCAGAAAUGGUAAAAUGGGUACAACAUACCAUACCUUUGAUAUUAAUUGGGGCAAUAAUUUUAAUUUGUUUGUUUAUCUAGAGCACAAGCAACAACCAAAUCAUUCUAUUUGUUUUUGGGGAGAUUUUGCUAAUUAUAAGAAUUUGCAUGAGUAAGUUUCUCAGUUCUCAGUCUGU
ensembl:lncRNA